rnacentral:lncRNA from 1 species
GAUCUCAAGGUGUUUUUCAAGUUCCAAUGUUCACUAAACUACAUGCCGUAGCUCUCUCAUUCAAACCAGAUCUGGGUUCAUUUACUCCUCAUUGUUGUUUCUUAAAGCCAAAAGAGACACCGUGGCUACUUUAACCGCCUUAAAGCGGACUCCAGGAAUAACACCUCCAGCACGACUAAACCCAGCACCAGAACUCAUCAUUCUCCUCCUUGCCGUUACGGCAGCCAUCACGGGGCACGAACGCUGCCAUCUUCUUGCCAU